GUGCCAGCAGCCGCGGUAAUACUGGCAGCCCGAGUGAUGGCCGAUCUUAUUGGGCCUAAAGCGUCCGUAGCUGGCUGCGCAAGUCCAUCGGGAAAUCCACCCGCCCAACGGGUGGCCGUCCGGUGGAAACUGUACGGCUUGGGACCGGAAGGCGCGACGGGUACGUCCAGGGUAGGAGUGAAAUCCCGUAAUCCUGGACGGACCGCCGAUGGCGAAAGCACGUCGCGAGAACGGAUCCGACAGUGAGGGACGAAAGCUGGGAUCUCGAACCGGAUUAGAAACCCGAGUAGUCC
rnacentral:rRNA from 1 species